rnacentral:misc_RNA from 1 species
AGGGGAAACAGAGAGCAAACAACAUUCUUCAUCUAAUUCAGCUUUCCAGAUGACCAAUCUUUCUUCUCAAGUCUCUAAUUCUGCCGGAAAGCCUCCAUUGUCUUCUUCUUCACUGAAACGAAAGUGCAGUUUAUCGGAAAAUGCCGUAUCUGGAAAGUGCAGUGGAUCUUCCGGCCGAUGCCAUUGUUCCAAGAGAAGAAAGUUAAGACUAAAGAGGGUAGUUCGAGUACCGGCAAUAAGCAUGAAACUGUCAGAUAUCCCACCGGAUGAUUACUCAUGGAGAAAAUAUGGACAGAAGCCAAUCAAAGGAUCUCCACAUCCAAGGGGAUAUUACAAGUGUAGUAGUGUAAGAGGGUGUCCAGCACGUAAACAUGUUGAAAGAGCAUUGGAUGAUCCAACUAUGCUGAUUGUUACCUAUGAAGGAGAACAUAAUCAUUCACUUUCUGUUGCUGAAACAAGUAGUCUCAUUUUAGAGUCUUCUUAAGUAAUUAGGAAUCAAAAAUUGUGUAGCUUCUCUG